rnacentral:rRNA from 1 species
UACAGAGGGUGCGAGCGUUACUCGGAAUUACUGGGCGUAAAGCGUGCGUAGACGGCUAUCUAAGUCGGGUGUGAAAGCCCCGGGCUCAACCUGGGAAUUGCAUUCGAGACUGAAUAGCUAGGGUACGGUAGAGGGAAGUGGAAUUUCCGGUGUAGCGGUGAAAUGCGUAGAUAUCAGGAGGAACACCGGUGGCGAAGGCGGGUCUCUGGGCCGAUACUGACGCUGAGGAGCGAAAGCGUGGGGAGCGAACAGG